CAAAUCCAUUCAAAAUUCACUCUCCGCUGAAAGCAACGCUCCUCUCGGGAUUUUUACCAUACUAGUGUUAAACAGAAGAAAAAAAUAUUAGAAUAGGUGAUCAGCAGCUAAUUUACCGAAAGGGAGUGAGGGAGCUGACGUGAAGAACACUGUACAUCCGAACGCUUCUCAUACUAGCGUGCCGAGCUCGGGACGACCAUUGCUCCUGGGACGCUAUUCAUAAUCGCGUCCUAAGGCACUUUAUAUUUCCCUGCUGCCUUCACCUUCAUUGUCUCUCUCACUUACCUUCUGAACCCUAUGAUUCUCUCAUUCCUCUCACCCCUCUCUUCUCCAUUGUAUUGUCCCUCUCCAUUGUCGUGUCUGGAGUGUUGCUCGUUGAAACCAAGUGGUGGACCAGUCACCAGAAGGGAACCGUGGUAGACCAACAACCAAAAGGAGAAUAAAAAAAACUUUGUGCAUUACUACAAAAAGAGGUGGAGAUGAAAAACAAAGAAGAGAACUUUAAUGAAGUUAUUUCAGAGUUAAGGAAGGAAAAUACUUCAUUGCAGGAGAAACUCAUUAAGGAGGAAUCAGAAAAAUUGGAUGCAAUUGAUUGUCAUAAAAGAGAAAAAGAAGCUCGGAUUGCUGCAGAAACCUUGCAGGCUUCUUUCUCAAAAGAGCUUGAAAAGGCUCAGCAAGAUAUAUUAGCAGCCAAUCAGAGGGUAAUAUCUAAUUUGCUUCUUGCAUCUUGAGUUUGAGUUGCCACUAUUAUUUAAUUGGGCGAAUGCUUCCUCCGAAUUUGGUGGAUUCCAAGCGACCAGCUUGAUGAACUUAUUUUCCCUUUAGGUGUA